rnacentral:lncRNA from 1 species
CAAAGAGAAAAUUAGCAAACUAAUUAAUCUCGUAUAGAAAUAGAAAAUACUACUUCAUACAUACAUUAUUUAUGAGUUUAACUUAUAUACACUAACACAAUGUAAAGAAUAUGAAAGUAGUGGAAAUAUUCUUUACAAUGUUGUCUAUAUAUAUAUAUAUAUAGGUUAAACUCGUCUGAAAUACAUUAUAAUCAAAUAAAUACUGUAAUUCAAUAUUAUCACAAGGCAAGGUAGAGGUUUCAUUAUUCAACAAACUGGAGGAUACGUAGGUUAAACUCGUCUGAAAUACAUUAUAAUCAAAUAAAUACUUUAAUUCAAUAUGAUCGCAAGGCAAGGUAGAGGUUUCAUUAUUCAACUAACUGGAGGGGUUUAUCUUUUUCUUAUCAUUCUUGAAGGUGGAGGUGGUAGCUUUCACUAUCUUUUCAACAGCCAUUGCCUUCACUGACUUCUUGUCCUUCUUUGGAAACACACUGCCUUUCUUUGAUGUGCCUUCUCCUCCGUUUCCAUUUCCAUUAUUCUCCAUAUCUAUUCUUUUCUCUUGGAUUAUGAAUAUGAGGAAUUGUCGUGUAUUACUAAUUGCUUUGUUGCUUCAACUUAUGAUGUUUUGAUGAGUUCGUAUACAUAGAUAUUUAUAGGAGUUUUCAGGC